rnacentral:rRNA from 1 species
GGCGAACGGGUGAGUAACACGUGAGCAACCUGCCCUAUACACUGGGAUAGCAGUUGGAAACGACUGAUAAUACCGGAUAAGACCACGCUGUCGCAUGGCAGAGGGGUCAAAGCGAUUUAGCGGUAUAGGAUGGGCUCGCGUCCAAUUAGCUAGUUGGUGAGGUAACGGCCCACCAAGGCGACGAUUGGUAGCCGACUUGAGAGAGUGAUCGGCCACACUGGAACUGAGACACGGUCCAGACUCCUACGGGAGGCAGCAGUGGGGAAUAUUGGGCAAUGGAGGAAACUCUUACCCAAGCAAUGCCGCGUGAGGGAUGGAGGUCCUAUGGAUUGUAAACCUCUUUGAUUAGGGACAAAGAAAGUGAUGGUACCUAAAGAACAAGCCCCGGCUAACUAUGUGCCAGCAGCCGC